AUAAAACUCACAAAUACAUAUUGUGAAGGAAUCUGUCCAGGAAUCUUGGUGGCAUCGUAGUUUUUUAGGACAUGAAAGUUUUGAAAGUUUCUCCAACUACUCAUCUACUAAACUCCAAACACCUGCACAGGUUCCUCAGAUGUCAUCAGAGUGGUUCAGUUUGGUUCAAUUGUCUCUAUUCGGUUCAGUAUGGGGAAGACUUCAUAACUAGCCAGAAGACCAUCAUUGAUCCCCUCCAUAGUUCCUAGCUAAGGAGGCUGGCUGUUCACAGAGCGCCGAGUCCAAGCAAAUCAACGGAAAGUCUGAUGGAAGGGCACCAUGUGGCAGGAGAAGAUGCACCAACAAAAGAGAUGACCAUGGGCUUCAGUGGAUUUUUAAAAAGACAAGAUUCAAGAAGCUGCAUGGUAGAUAUCCAGAAAGAGUGAAAUGAGAUGAAGGACCAGUUUCAUUCAGUUGCUUUAGGGAGACGGGCUACAACUGUCGGGUUCCUCAGGUCAACCCACUUCUGAGCCUGGACCAACGGAGGAAACAUCUCAACUGGGCCGAAGAGAAGGAGGACUGGACUGCUGCUGGAGAAUGUUCCAGAGGACUUCAGGAUUCCUCCAGCUAGACCUGAUCCCUGCCCAGACUUUUGAGAUGGGUUUGCACCAGCAAAGGAAGUGUACCACAGUUUGGACCCAGCAGCCAGUAAGGACCAACAAGCACCAGUUAAAAACUCCCGAAGCACCAAAUUAACCUAUUUCAACAUUCAGGCUGUACUGAACUUACAAGAUCAUAAUGAAGUAACAAGAGUCAAACCGACCCAGCAAAGUAUUGUGCUGCGUUACAGAGGGAUAAGAUCCUCAUUAUUCUUACCCUGACUGUCGGUGUCAUAGUGGACUGGUGCAGUGCAAGCAUGAACAUGCUGCAAUCAAACCUGAGUGGUUUAUGUUCCCUUUUUUUCACCAAUCGGUCAUGGGUGAAUAUUUGCAGGAGUUUUUAGUUUUCUUUGGAAUACAAGAUAAUAAAUGUAUCCUGUAAUAAAUAGUAAAUAUUUUAAACAAUGUUGGAAUUUGUUUAGCGUCUUCUUAAGAAAUUAACUAAAGAAUGAAAACCAGAUUUAAUGUAAAGACGGUUUGUUACAAAAAGGGCAAUUAGACCCAUUAACUCAUAAACAAAAUAACAAAAAUGAAUGUAGAAAUGUCAAUGAUAUAUUUAAAAAAAUGCAAAUGGAUUCUGGUAAUAACUGACAAAAAGCACAGGUUUUUCUGUGCCCAGUGCAAACAUUUAUUCUGAAUUUAUUCAAAACUUUGUAAAAUAAUUUUUUUUUUAAAGUUACCGUACCUCUCUCUGUGAUCAACCAGCAGAAUGCAGCAAAGGACAAUAAACAACGUUUCUUUAAAGGCUAAGUACCCACUCUGAUGAAAAUGGUGUUUUUAACAUGUUCUUGUGGCAAUUUUCUCAUGAUUGUGGACAUAUAUUACGAAAACUAAGAUUAACAUUGUAUUUCUGAGUAUUUCUUUAUUUAAAUCAUUGUGAAUCAGGAGAGGAUGAAAAAAUGCAGUUCUAAAAAGAUCUGAUUUGUGAUGUAAAAAAAAUAUGCCGGGCAGGCCACAAGACCCUUUCUUUAAGGUCUCAGCAAUGGGAAGAGGAAGAGGGGGUGGGGUUGCUUCCUGCCAACUGUUCCG